rnacentral:rRNA from 1 species
UACGUAGGGUGCGAGCGUUAAUCGGAAUUACUGGGCGUAAAGCGUGCGCAGGCGGUUCGUUAAGUUCGAUGUGAAAGCCCCGGGCUCAACCUGGGAACUGCAUUGGAAACUGGCGAGCUUGAAUGCGGCAGAGGGGGGUGGAAUUCCGCGUGUAGCAGUGAAAUGCGCAGAUAUCAGGAGGAACACCGGUGGCGAAGGCGGGUCUCUGGGCAACAACUGACGCUGAGGAGCGAAAGCGUGGGGAGCGAACAGG